AUUUAUAAAUUGGCUUUGUUGACGUGACGCAACCGUUCGUUAUCAGCAGAAGUUUUUUUUUGUGCUUUUGUGGAACAAUGAAUUGACGGUUUUUGGAGUCUAAGAAAAUGGUAUUAAAUUCAGUGUCUAAACAUAAAAAAAAGUCACACCAACUGAAAAAGAAAGAUGAAGUCAGUGCGACAAGGAAAGAUGGAAAUCGUGCUGGUUUAAGAAGUAAUUCGAAGAAAACACUUACUGAUGUUGAUAAUCAGCCUAAGGUGAUUUAAAGGAUAAGUUGAAAGGGAAAAGUAAGCAAUUUGAAGAAGAAGGUAAAAUCCCGUUUUAUCGGCUGGC